AGCUGUUUUGGGACUACAGUUCCCAUCAUCCCUGACCACUGGUCCUGUUAGCUAGGUGUGAUGGGAGUUGUAGUCCCAGAGCAGCU